rnacentral:lncRNA from 1 species
CUGGCACAAAAACAUGCAAACCAAGUACGUACACCCUGAGAAGUUUCCUGUUUGUCCUUUUGACAGGACUGCAAACAAACUUGAAGGAGCCUUUCCCUUACCACAGCUUCCAUAUGCCCUCUUCUUCCCUCCACGAAGAGCACGUCUUUUGUUGCCCUAUACUGAAAAAAAUCUAUGUACUAAAUUAAGACUGAACAUCUA